rnacentral:lncRNA from 1 species
UUGCUUCUUGGUCAAGGAGACUUUAUAAGGCACUUGAUGGAUUUGCUGAAACCAGAACUUGUCCGUCCGCAACGACUCUGUAUCAGCAUAACCUGACCGGAUUCUGGAAACCGCUGUGAGAGCCACCAACGCGCAGUUCGACAGCCCCGAGAUCCUGCGGCGGCUGGACGUCCGGCUGCUGGAGGUCUCUCCAGGUGACACGGGAUGGGAUGUCUUCAGCCUGGAUUACCACGUGGAUGGGCCCAUCGCCACGUUACCAAAUCAUGAAAGGUCAGCCAGGGAGGUGUCGUCUUACGUGUCUGGAAUUAAGAUGCUGUUUCUGAGGCUCCUCUCUAUUCAGGCCUGAAUGAAUUCUCCUUGACCAUGACGCACCUUUAAAUGUGCUUCAGUCCCGUGUAGGUCUGAGAGACUGAGGGGCACCUGUGUUUCUCUUCAUUACUUUGCUAAGCAGCGGCGUAGGUUAGCCUUCUUCCUCUCCGUGGUUCUUGCAUAGUCUGCAUGUCUCGCCCAGUGAGGGUCCUGUGACUGAGUCACACCCACAAGUCUGCACGAGCCGACAGCCCCUCCCCAUAGUGUAACUUGAGUCUGCGCCCAGUCUGCCACCCAGAUGUGUGUGUCUGCUGGGCAUGGUCGCUGUUUGGCAUGCGAGUCCCCACGUGUGACCUGCAGUUGCCCCACCUGCAGUGUCCGUGUACAGCUGCCCUUCAGCUUGGUUGCUGGUCCGUCCGCAUUAGCCUCCUCUCCUUGGACGGACUCCUAAGGGUGUAGCACAGUGGCGACUGCUUGUGCCCACCAAGUGUGAGGCCCUGGGUUCUGUCCCCAGUGCCAACGCAGACAAAAACAGAACCCCAGAGAUACCAUGGGAAAGGCUGCAUUGAUGAUUCAUAGAGUAGGUGGACCGGCACGUCCAGAAGCAGUUACCUAUUUAUUUCUAGCGUGUGCACUGUCCUAGGAGUAUCAGCUGUACUUUAUGUGCAGUGUGCCUAAACAAUGGCUCCUGUGGUAUUAUUUAAAUUUAUAUGUUUCAAGGCUCUACUCCAGUAAAGGAGCAGUUUAUAUUAUAGGUUAAAACAUCUCUGAAGCUGAGCAUGGUGGUGCCUGCCUGUAAUCCCAGACUGAGGCAGGAGGGUUGUGAGUUCAAGGCCAGCCUGAACCACAUAGCAAUACCCUAUCUCAGAAAACCAAAAUAAAUAAGAAAGACAAAACAAAGUGAAAACCUCCCUGAGAGCCCUGUGGCCCACAGCUGCCGGUUGUUUGCUUGCCCAGUUUGUCAGCAGCGAAGCGUGGGCUUCUGGAGAGAAGGAGUUGCAGGGCUGGGCUGGUGGGCACUGCAGGCCCCGGAGUGAGGCUGCCCGGAGUGCCACUCCGGUCUGCGGUUAGCCGCGCCUGGGCCUGAGUCCAUUUUAGCUGAGUUGCCGC